rnacentral:rRNA from 1 species
UACGAGUGCUCCAAGCGUUAUCCGGAAUCAUUGGGCGUAAAGAGCUCGUAGGCGGUUUGUUGCGUCGGCUGUGAAAUCCCGAGGCUCAACCUCGGGUCUGCAGUCGAUACGAGCAAACUAGAGUGUUGCAGGGGAGACUGGAAUUCCUGGUGUAGCGGUGAAAUGCGCAGAUAUCAGGAGGAACACCGGUGGCGAAGGCGGGUCUCUGGGCCGUAACUGACGCUGAGGAGCGAAAGCAUGGGGAGCGAACAGG